CUUCAGGUUUUUGGGACUCAGCUGAGAGUGUGGGUCCGUGAGGUGCGGGCUGGGCCGCCCUGGGGUGUGGGGAGAUAAAGGGAUCCACAUCCAAGUCACCUCUUUCCCGCUUUGGGGCUUGGUGCCUCCGCUUUCUCGUAGCUCCUCAUGCCGAUGGCCUUGCUCAUAUCAGGUGUCUGAAGGGGGCAGGUUCUGAGGAUCUGUGUCCUGAUGGCUUCUGAAGCUUCUACUCCAGAUUCAAAGGCAACAGUCUUCAGGAGAACCCAACAGUUCACAUCUUUAUUUGGUUAUGCCGCCUGGCUCAACAAGUCUUCCUCAAUGAAUUCCUGGGUUAUCAGGUGGUGAAACAGACAGAAGGAGAGAGCAUUGGAACAUCAGAGAAGGGUGUGGACUUCGAGUCCCAGGAGCAGGAUCCAAUAGAGAAGAACCAAGUGUGAUGUCGAGUCUACUAGACAGGUUCCUGGAACAAGAGUGUAAGACAGUUGUUGUUUUACUCUGAUGCUUUUGCAAAAGUGAUUCAUCUUCAGAGAGAUUCAUGGAGAAAACUCUGAAAAGUACUAUAGAAUACAGGUUUCUGAAAAGUUUAAGGACAUACUACUGACUGGGUAAGAAUUUCCAGAGCUCUAAUGGAAAAACUAGAUUCAAGUAGAACAAGAAUUAAUAACAUGGGUUGAAUGAACUGAUGGGGAUGAUUAUAAUUUUUAUGACUUUUUAUGUGAAACACUGCUGGUUCUUUAAUGUUUUUAUUUACAAGUUUAAAGAAACCUUUUUCUUUUAAGCUGUCUAUGAUGUAUAGCAAUUUGAUAAAGUAUACCUUUGUAAACAGAAUUGAAACAUUUCAUUUUUCUCCGUAUCUGAUCCCUCCAGAAUUAGGAAAUUUGUUGAGUGUUCUUAUUUUCAUGGCUAUUUAGUUAUUUGUAUAAAUUCAGUAAGAAUCUGUUUUUAGAAUACAAUUUGAAACAUUGUUUAUAUUAUGGCUUUGACAGAAUAUCAUAAUUCAGAAUAUGCAUAGAAUAUAGACCACACAACUUUAAGGAACUGAGGCUGACUUUAUGGAGCCAGUAAAGCCUCUUGGAAAACCAGCCUGUUACCUUG